UGGGGCAAGCGAUAGCAAAGAAGUCCGCUGGCCUUAUUUUAAACUGCUGUUUUUUUUUUGAAGGAUUUAGUUGACAUCGGAAGCACUACAAGCAAUAUCCCGCCAGCUGAGGAAGAGAGUGCAGAAACCCUCCUGAUCAACAUGUGCUGCCAAAAAGAAUACACUACCGACGAAUGCAGCUCCCAGGCCACUGAGUCACCUGUGCCUGGGACUUCCAGCACAACUGACGAGGAGACGUCAGCCGAAGUAUGCCGAAGUGCUACGCCAAAGCGAACACAAGCAGUCGCAGCGAAAAGGAAAAGACACAAGCUGGAUGACGAAAUCGCAACUGUAGAUCAUCUGCUUAAAAAAAAUGAAGAUGCGCCUGCUGUUUUUGGGCAGCUUGUUGCCCAUAAAUUAAGAAAGUUUCCAGAACGACAGCAGUCGGAAUUGGAAAUAGAAAUUUUACAGUUGCUGAACAGGCACGACUAUGAGUGAAAAUAAAGUGUACCCUAUUUGUUCACUG